rnacentral:rRNA from 1 species
UACGUAGGGACCAAGCGUUGUUCGGAUUUACUGGGCGUAAAGGGCGCGUAGGCGGCUUAACAAGUCACUUGUGAAAUCUCCGGGCUUAACUCGGAACGGCCAAGUGAAACUGUCAAGCUAGAGUGCAGAAGGGGCAAUCGGAAUUCUUGGUGUAGCGGUGAAAUGCGUAGAUAUCAGGAGGAACACCGGUGGCGAAGGCGGUUCUCUGGGCAUUACCUGACGCUGAGGAGCGAAAGUGUGGGGAGCGAACAGG